GCCAUAGAUCCUGAAGAUUUUCUCCUAUCACAGUGCCCAAAGUCAAGGGUCCAGAAUAAAGGGGCUGUGAAUUGGCAACACCUGUCCAGAGGAAGCCAGCACUGUGAACCAGGGGAAGGUAGCAGAAAGGGCUGAUAUAAAAUGGAGAAAUACACCAAGGAAGACAUUUUCAGUGGUUAUACAUAUAUAUAAUAUAUAUUAAAAAUUAUAUAUAUAUGUAAUGUGUGUAUGUACAUGUGUAUGUGGGUAUACAUGUGUUUGUGUGUAUGUACAUGUGUGUAAGUACAUGUCUGUGUGUGUAUGCGCACAUGUGCCUAGGGGGAGGGAAGUGGAGGAAGGGAGAUGAACACAACAGUAGCAGGGGCCUGGAAGGAACAAGAACAGUAGGAGGAGACAGGUAGGGUGGGUCUACUUCUGAGGAAGUGGCCCUGUCUGAGGUGGAGCUGCAGAGAGUGGUUGGAGCCCAUGGAUUUUACAGAGAGAAGUUUUAAAGGCUGCCAAGAAUGUGCACAUGAGCAUCCCUCCUCCUCAGGUCCCCACUGCGAGGAGGAACGUGCAGAGGCCCAGAUGGGAAGGAGGCCUGGGACAGCUGAGGCUCUCUGGGACCUGGACCUCUUUGUUGCUCCUGCUUUGGCCUGAAAAGCUCCCCUGAGCCUUCAGGAAGGGCAUGCAGCCAAAGGCCCAUCGAGAAGGAAUGGUAGCUCCCAGUCAUUGAGGACUUACCUUGUGUUGGAGGCCUUGUGUGUACUUCCCAACACACCUGUAUGGAGGCAAAACAGAGGUCUCAGGUCAGUCUGCAGCCCUCCGCUGCCCCAACCUUGGCUGCCUGGAAGACUCUGACUUGCUGGGGAGAGAUGACUUCUGCCCCUGGGGGAUCCACACAGGCUGAGCCUUACACAGAGCCUGGUGCUCCCCUGGGGCCUAGAGUUGAGUAUUGGGUGGGGAAGAGGGGAGGGCAUGCUGUCAGAGAGGUAGCGGGAGGGUCAGUGAGUCACAGAAGCUCCAGAGGGCAUAAGGUAAGGCCAUGAGAGUGGGCGCAAGGGAGCAUGGGACUCUCUAACUGCUCUGUGUUAAGGCUUGGUAUUUCCUGAAUGGGGCUCUGAGGCUUAGGAUCACUUCUGAGACUGAGAACCUAGGCUCAGGGAGCAAUGUGGGGCCAGCCCUCACCUAGUUGGAGGACCCAACCAAAGCAAAUUCCAAAGGCCAAAAAUAGGGACUAAGGCUAGGUCCACGGAUUCUGGGAUAAAAGCAGGCUUCUGAGCAUGAGAAGCCCAGGAGGUGGUCUGAGGGGCAGCUGGGAUGCCCAAGAGAGAACAUUAAAAGGGCAGAGCAAGUUCAAGUGUACUGAAGCCAGCCUUGGGAGAGAGAAGUCCAAACCUGUAGGCAGAGGAGAACAGCAAGAAGUCCAGGUAGCAAGGGACAUUGAAAGGCCAGAGGGUGGUGGGCUGGGUUGGGAUGGCAAUACAUAUGUAUACCUGUAUCAGUUAGCUCUUGCUGUAUAAUAAACCAUCCCAAAGCUUAGUGGCUGAAAGCA
rnacentral:lncRNA from 1 species